rnacentral:rRNA from 1 species
CCUACGGGAGGCAGCAGUGGGGAAUAUUGGGCAAUGGGCGCAAGCCUGACCCAGCAACGCCGCGUGAAGGAAGAAGGCUCUCGGGUUGUAAACUUCUUUUCUCAGGGACGAAGAAAGUGACGGUACCUGAGGAAUAAGCCACGGCUAACUACGUGCCAGGAGUCGCGGUAAUCCGUAGGGGGCAAGCGUUAUCCGGAUUUACUGGGUGUAAAGGGCGUGUAGGCGGGGAAGCAAGUCAGAUGUGAAAACCACGGGCUCAACCUGUGGCCUGCAUUUGAAACUGUUUUUCUUGAGUACUGGAGAGGCAGACGGAAUUCCUAGUGUAGCGGUGAAAUGCGUAGAUAUUAGGAGGAACACCAGUGGCGAAGGCAGUCUGCUGGACAGCAACUGACGCUGAGGCGCGAGAGCGUGGGGAGCAAACAGGAUUAGAUACCCCUGUAGUC